UCGNCGCCCGCGACUCGGCGAGAAGUCCAUUGAACCUUAUCAUUUAGAGGAAGGAGAAGUCGUAACAAGGUUUCCGUAGGUGAACCUGCGGAAGGAUCAUUG
rnacentral:rRNA from 1 species